rnacentral:tRNA from 1 species
UGUUGUAGCUCAGUGGUAGAGCACUUCCUUGGUAAGGAAGAGGUCACGAGUUCAAAUCUCGUCAUCA